rnacentral:sRNA from 1 species
AGAAAGAGAGUAUGAUUACAUUUUAAAUAAAGACUGGAGUAAGUAUAACAAAGAUAUUCAAGAGGUCGAUAACAUGGACUUGUAUAGCUUGACCGAGAUAAGAAGAAG